GGUCUUGUAGUGAAAUGGAUAUCAUCCUAGUCUUCGAAACUAGAGUUCUAGGUUCAAGUCCUAGCAAGACCACCA
rnacentral:tRNA from 7 species